CAAUGUUCUCGUGACGGAAGCAAGCCUGGAUUUCAACGUCGGAUGGCUUAAACUGAUCCACUGGAAUCUAGAACAUAAAGGGAGAACCAACUGCUGAAGGGAAGUUGAGGUCCCCUUCCCAAGCGAUGGUCUCAGGAAAGAAGACAGGAUACCCCGAGACGAGACUUCAAACGACUCGUCCCAAAAGCGGACCCGGGCAUCUUGGGCGCUUUGCACGGCUCAGUGGAAAGAGCACGAAGUCUGGGAGUCCGCGGAUCUGGGUUCCAAUGCUGCCCCCGCUACUGAACUGCUUGGACGAGUGACUGCGCUUCUCUGGGCCUCCGUUUCUUCAUCUGUACAAUGGGGUUCUAACUAGCCGUCCUCCCCCCACCCACCGCGGCUCAUCUGAAUCUGUGCCGGGCACGGAGGAGGCAUUUAAUAAAUAGCACAAGGGUGGCGUUGAGGUUGCUUCUUGCUUCCUAGCCCCCUCCACUG